CCUUCGAUAGCUCAGUUGGUAGAGCGGUGGACUGUAGCGGUGAGCGCGCACACAUCUGUGCACGUGCAAUAGUUAUCCAUAGGUCACUGGUUCAAAUCCGGUUCGAAGGA
rnacentral:tRNA from 2 species